CUACGGGUCGCUGCAGUGAGGAAUAUUGCACAAUGGGGGGAACCCUGAUGCAGCAACGCCGCGUGGAGGAUGACGCAUUUCGGUGUGUAAACUCCUUUUAUAUGUCAAGAAAAUGACGGUAGCAUAUGAAUAAGCACCGGCUAACUCCGGCCAGGAGCCGCGGUAAUACGGAGGGUGCAAGCGUUACUCGGAAUCACUGGGCGUAAAGGACGCGUAGGCGGGUUGGAAAGUCAGGUGUGAAAUCCUACAGCUUAACUGUAGAACUGCACUUGAAACUUCUAAUCUAGAGUAUGGGAGGGGGAGAUGGAAUUAGUAGUGUAGGGGUAAAAUCCGUAGAUAUCACUAGGAAUACCUAAAGCGAAGGCGAUCUCCUGGAACAUUACUGACGCUAAGGCGUGAAAGCGUGGGGAGCAAACAGGAUUAGAUACCCGGGUAGUC
rnacentral:rRNA from 1 species